rnacentral:tRNA from 1 species
GAGGGUGUAGCUCAGUGGUAGAGAAUGUGCUUGGCACACGCACGAGGUCCUGGGUUCAAUCCCCAGUACCUCUA